rnacentral:rRNA from 1 species
GUCGAGAAUCUUUCACAAUGGGGGCAACCCUGAUGGAGCGACGCCGCGUGGAGGAUAAGGUCUUCGGAUUGUAAACUCCUGUCAUGCGUGAACAAGGUUGCUUGGUUAAUACCUGGGCAAAUUGAUGGUAACGCAAGAGGAAGAGACGGCUAACUCUGUGCCAGCAGCCGCGGUAAUACAGAGGUCUCAAGCGUUGUUCGGAAUCACUGGGCGUAAAGGGUGCGUAGGGGGCGUGGUAAGUCAGAUGUGAAAGCCCGGGGCUCAACCACGGAACUGAAUCCGAUACUGCCAUGGUAGAGUACUGGAGAGGUGACUAGAAUUCUCGGUGUAGCAGUGAAAUGGGUAGAUAUCGAGAGGAAUACCAAAGGCGUAGGCAGGUCACUGGACAGUUACUGACACUGAGGCACGAAGGCCAGGGGAGCGAACGGGAUUAGAAACCCGAGUAGUCC